AAAGCUCACUCUGAGUACCUCCAGAACUAGCUUUCUCCCUGACAAACUAAAGGAAGUUUUGGCCCCAUGACGUCCUUGUGAGGUUGACAAUGCCCCUGGUCAACCAGAGAACCAACAGGUGAGAUGACAAUGAAAAUAAGGCCCAGUGUACAGCAAAAGGGAUGUAGCAAGACAGAAGUGACUGUGACUCAGAUGUUAUCAAAGACAAGAUGAAGCCUGCCUGAGAACCCUCCUCUUAAACAGCAGGAGCCCAGACCCUGAGCAGGGAGAGAGUCAGGUCCCAGAUGGAGACACUGAUUAACUUCAUAGCAUCACCAUGGAGCCAGAUCUGGAAAUUCUUUAGGGGGUUGCUGAACAACCCUGUCAUCCCUACCUGACCUCAGCUGCCGAGGUCCCUGUGAACACAGUCUGCAAGUUCAUCAUCCCGGCGGGGAGGCUUUGUUUUGCAGUCCAAGCCACCUAGAGAAGAAAGUGUAAGGUGGAAGUAUGGAGAAAGAUGGCUCACAGAUACAGGAAAGCUGCAGAGGGAGCCGAGUCAGUUCCAGUGUUCAUACAGGGGCAAAUUAUGGCAACUACAGC
rnacentral:lncRNA from 1 species